AUUGAACGCUGGCGGCAGGCCUAACACAUGCAAGUCGAACGGUAACAGGAAGCAGCUUGCUGCUUUGCUGACGAGUGGCGGACGGGUGAGUAAUGUCUGGGAAACUGCCCGAUGGAGGGGGAUAACUACUGGAAACGGUAGCUAAUACCGCAUAACGUCGCAAGACCAAAGAGGGGGACCUUAGGGCCUCUUGCCAUCGGAUGUGCCCAGAUGGGAUUAGCUAGUAGGUGGGGUAACGGCUCACCUAGGCGACGAUCCCUAGCUGGUCUGAGAGGAUGACCAGCCACACUGGAACUGAGACACGGUCCAGACUCCUACGGGAGGCAGCAGUGGGGAAUAUUGCACAAUGGGCGCAAGCCUGAUGCAGCCAUGCCGCGUGUAUGAAGAAGGCCUUCGGGUUGUAAAGUACUUUCGGCGGGGAGGAAGGGAGUAAAGUUAAUACCUUUGCUCAUUGACGUUACCCGCAGAAGAAGCACCGGCUAACUCCGUG
rnacentral:rRNA from 1 species